UACCCCGUGGUGUAAUCGGCAACACAGCUGGUUUUGGUCCAGCCAUUCAAGGUUCGAGUCCUUGCGGGGUAGCCU
rnacentral:tRNA from 1 species